rnacentral:misc_RNA from 1 species
GAUGAAGAACGUAGCGAAAUGCGAUAAGUAAUGUGAAUUGCAGAAUUCCGUGAAUCAUCGAAUCUUUGAACGCACAUUGCGCCCCCUGGUAUUCCGGGGGGCAUGCCUGUCCGAGCGUCAUUGUAACCCUCAAGCGCGGCUUGUGUGUUGGGCUUCGUCCCCCCGUGGACGUGCCCGAAAGGCAGUGGCGGCGUCCCGAAUGGUGCCCGAGCGUAUGGGAACUCUCUUCCGCUCGAACCGGCCCAUUCGGCGCUGGUCGAACCCCAAUUUUUUUUUACCGGUUGACCUCGGAUCAGGUAGGGAUACCCGCUGAACUUAAGCAUAUCAAUAAGCGGAGGA